rnacentral:rRNA from 1 species
CAGCAGCCGCGGGAAUACGGAGGGUGCAAGCGUUAAUCGGAAUUACUGGGCGUAAAGCGCACGCAGGCGGUUUGUUAAGUCAGAUGUGAAAUCCCCGGGCUCAACCUGGGAACUGCAUUUGAAACUGGCAAGCUAGAGUCUCGUAGAGGGGGGUAGAAUUCCAGGUGUAGCGGUGAAAUGCGUAGAGAUCUGGAGGAAUACCGGUGGCGAAGGCGGCCCCCUGGACGAAGACUGACGCUCAGGUGCGAAAGCGUGGGGAGCAAACAGGAUUAGAUACCCGGGUAGUCCCUGUCUCUUAUAA